GAUGAACGCUGGCGGCGUGCCUAAUACAUGCAAGUCGAGCGAACAGACGAGGAGCUUGCUCCUCUGACGUUAGCGGCGGACGGGUGAGUAACACGUGGAUAACCUACCUAUAAGACUGGGAUAACUUCGGGAAACCGGAGCUAAUACCGGAUAAUAUAUUGAACCGCAUGGUUCAAUAGUGAAAGACGGUUUUGCUGUCACUUAUAGAUGGAUCCGCGCCGCAUUAGCUAGUUGGUAAGGUAACGGCUUACCAAGGCAACGAUGCGUAGCCGACCUGAGAGAGUGAUAGGCCACACUGGAACGGAGACACGGUCCAGACUCCUACGGGAGGCAGCAGUAGGGAAUCUUCCGCAAUGGGCGAAAGCUUGACGGAGCAACGCCGCGUGAGUGAUGAAGGUCUUCGGAUCGUAAAACUCUGUUAUUAGGGAAGAACAAAUGUGUAAGUAACUAUGCACGUCUUGACGGUACCUAAUCAGAAAGCCACGGCUAACUACGUG
rnacentral:rRNA from 1 species